rnacentral:lncRNA from 1 species
UAAACAAAAGUAAGAGAAACAAUGAUGUAUAAUUCAAGCAUGUUUGGUGAUCUCAAACCAAUCACAAGGAGUCCCACCCAAAGGCAAAGGGAACCAAGAUGCUCAUGAUCCUUGAGGCUAUGCAAAUGCAAUGUUAUGAUGCCAUGAGGGAUCUUAGGGUCAAAAUUGGGGUCUUACAGAUGCCCCUAUUUAAGGUCAUUCUAGCCGGAGAAGUGAAGGUUAAAAUCU